rnacentral:rRNA from 1 species
UACGAAGGGGGCUAGCGUUGUUCGGAAUUACUGGGCGUAAAGCGCACGUAGGCGGACUACUAAGUCAGGGGUGAAAUCCCGGGGCUCAACCCCGGAACUGCCUUUGAUACUGUCAAUCUCGAGUCCGGGAGAGGUGAGUGGAAUUCCUAGUGUAGAGGUGAAAUUCGUAGAUAUUCGGAAGAACACCAGUGGCGAAGGCGACUUACUGGACACAUAUUGACGCUGAGGUGCGAAAGCGUGGGGAGCAAACAGG